AGCUGAUGACAGAUUUUUGACGUUUUUUGAUAUGAUUUUUAACAUAAAAAAUAACUCUGAAUGAUAUAUAUAUGAGUUCUGGAAAGCGCCUAUUUUCCAAGUUAUGAUUUACAAACGCGGCUAUUUUGGCGAAUUUUACUGGGCGCAGCACCCUGGAGACCACUGAUGAUGAAGUCGAAAAUGACGUCAGCGACAGAACUCUUCCUCCUCACUCACUUGCUGAUGCCCGUGGUAUUGAUGGGACAGGAGGUGGAGCUGUGCUCUGAACAUGUCAAUUUUGGAUAAUUUCGGUACUUCCACAUUAAAAUAAUUACUUGGCUGUUCAGUUAAAUGUCAUACAAAUGUGUGCUACUGUCAUCCGGAGUGCAGUAUUCAGGAGGGGGUCUCACAGUUAGGCUGGUCUAUCAGGCUAAUCAUGUUGGUUUGCACAUCGGAUCCGUCGCCGGGGACAAGGCUACCUCUUCAAAGACCCGUCAAAUCAUGUUGUGAAACAAAUGACGUGAAGGCCUACUUUAGAUUUACAAGGACUACAGAAGAAAUGGGAUCCCAAAUUGGAACUGGAAGCAGAUCAUGGGUCACACCAUGCAACCAAACAGUUUCUGCACCGCUGAGCGAAAAAGAGAUGCAAUACUUCACACCCUGAAGAUGUACCUGGGGGGAAUUGCCAGAAGAUUUCUUUUUGUGUGGGGCGAAGAUGAAGCAUGGCAGGACUGAGUGUAGGCUAUAUAUACACUGCAGGCCCUGGGGGGAGCUUUUGGUUGUAUUCUUCAUGUAAGAGAUGUAUCUAAAGCUGUGAGACACUUGUUAUUAGAAUGUAAUAUUACUGAUAUUUGUGGUGUUAACUAAAUAGAUUGAUACAUUGACCAAAAAUGUUCUCCGUUUGCUUUUGUACAGUCUGAAUGAAUGUGUAUAAAUGGAGAAUAUGUUGUAGCAUAUGGAUAAGCAGGGGUUAGACAAUGAAACUGAAAUACUUGGUUUCAGAUAGGCUUGGCUAUAGCAGCCGGCCAUGUAUAUUGACCCUGUGGAGCUCCUGAC